UCCCAAAGCAACUAGAGACUGAGAUGCCCAUCCUUUCUCAAUGAAAAGGUGGUUAAGCACAACGUGUUGGGGCUUUGAUGAAGAAACUUCAUUUGAAUUAUCCAUAUCAAGAACAGUAAGAUGCAGCUGUUGUGGAACAACUAAUGGCUCUUUUGCCAAAUCUUCCUCAGUCGGAAAUGACUGACCAUAAGUGGAGUCUGGGGACGGUGGAACCUCAAAUUCAGCCACACUGUCUAGGUUUUCUUGCACAUAAUUAUUAACAUCAAGAAGAUUACAAACACGGCCCAUCUCAUCAGCUACAAAAGGAAGAUCUGGAAUAUAUCUCCACUCCCCGUCUACAAUGAACUUAUAAUGGUAUAUACCUGAUGGGAGGACCAGCAGAAUAGAGUGAUCCUUACCAGAUCUUUGCAAUUGCUUCCUUGACAUCCAGUUGUCCCAAGAUCCCUCCAGAAACACUUCAUUACCACCAUAGUUCCAGGUGAUAAUGGUUGGGAUUCCUUGUUGAGGAGGAUGAUCAACAACUCUAGAAGAUUCAUUUUGCCACAUCUGAUUUAAAAAGGGUGGUCCGUCAGGCCUGUGCAAGGGAGCUACAGGAACCUGAGAAGCGAAUGAAAGAGGGGAAGCGGAGCGAGCAGGAGGGCUGUGAGGCGGCGUCGCAUUACUGUAAUUAUUAGUAUUGUUGUUGUUAACAUUAGCCAUGGAAUCGGAAGAAACAACCGUUCGAUGCGAAUAGGCAGCUCGGAUGGAUGAUUCACCGUUGGAUCCGUUCCCAUCAGCCCUGUUCUCUCCGUCUUCUCUCCCGUUUACAUUUCCCAUCUAUCCUCUUCUUCCCAAAUCAAAUUUUCUUUUCUCGAUAAUCUCAAAACACAAUUUCUUCCGAUGAAACACGCCUCUAUCAGUCUUGUGCGUGUGCUUUAUAUAUUAGAGAUCUACCAACAAGGC
rnacentral:misc_RNA from 1 species